rnacentral:lncRNA from 1 species
CCUGGACUAAAAAUUGUUUUCAUUAUUUUAAUAGAAGCUAAAAUUUUUAUAGCUGUCUCAUUUCAGAAUUCAUGGCUUUAAAGUAAAAAGCUUCAUCUAUUUUAAAACUUGCAGGCCUACAUGUGCAGAGAGACACAUCAGUCUAUCUUAGAUGUUUUCUGAUAUUAAUUUUAUUCUCAAUGACUGUCAGCCACGGAUCCUUCACCAACACAGAAUGUGUCAAAAGCUUUUACAGAAGUAAACUAACAAGCAGAGGAUAAAUAAUCGACCGUUUUAGGUGAUAAUCCUGCAGUGAGCUCUGUGUGACCAGACAUUUUGCCCAGCAGAAAGAAUAUGUUUACUUCAAGAGGAACCCAUUUGGGUGUUCCCUUCGGUACCAGGUUGGCAUGAUCUGGAAUCUUCUAUGUGAAUUCAGUUACUACAAAAGAGAGAUCAUCCUGUUUUCCUGGCAUCUAGGCCAGGAAAAGGCCAUCAGUGACAGCAUCACUGUCAUUCUACUUGCCUGCCCUCCAGUUGUGCCUGUUAGGGGGUUUGAAGACUAUCCACAGUCUAGUUCUUGAGAUGCAGUUGCCAGUUCUGGUACCACUCAUGUGACAAGCAAACACUUUUACUGCUUUAUCCAACUUUCCAUCUUGUACAGCUUCUUGUGUUGACAUAGUUACAAAUACUUAUUAUUUGAAGCGGAGCCAGGUUGCUGUCAGCCAAUUGCCUUUCAUUUACACUGUUCAGUUACUCAUCCAUGUAAAAAUAAAAUGCUGUUGAGCUUUAUUGGACUUGCUUUC